GAGCCCCCCCGAGUCACCCCGAGCCCCCCCGAGUCACCCCGAGCCCCCCGGAGUCACCCCAGCCUGCCAGCUCGCCUCUUUGUGCUCGCCUCCCACCCGUGCCGAGAUAUUGAGAAUGAGGAAACAACAGGGUUGUCAUACCUAGUAGGACGAAGAGGCUGUGGGAACAAACGUGGACUGAUCCAGUGGCAUGCUGGAUGGAAGGAUAUCCUGGUCACUCUGCACAGCUUUACCUGGGUGUAUGUGAAAAGUCUUCAUUUGAAAGUUUGCUAAGCAACAAAUCCUUGAAAUAGAAUAGGUUGCAACUCUGCUCUGCCUGGAAAGUACACAUGCAUUGCCUAUCUCUGACUGGAUGCAUGCCAGAUAGUCCUUUGGGAUAUAACCCAGUGAGCAGGAGAAAUGGGUUUGGACUUGGCAAAGUGGCAAUAAGCAUAAAGGAAGAAACUGGAGAGCUGCUUCAUCAGUGCCAAUCCAUGCUGUGGUUGGUCUCAUGAAAAGGAUCUUAUUGAUGAAUUAGUGCAGCUACCCUCCCAGCCAUGGAAGAAUACCUCAUACAAAAAAAUCCAUAGGUGACUAAUAGGUGUGGUAAGCAGCUUGUGAGAUUUGGGAGAAACGUUCUGCUAUCCUGGAAAUCAACCUAGACCUAAAUUACCUUCCAUUGUGGAUAUUUUAGUCUUAAUUCAUGCUUUUCCACCACAUUUCAGAACAUAUCCUUUAUCUGAACAGCUUUGCUUUCUUGUUUGUUUGUUUUUCAUGUUUGUCAGUCAUUACACAGUGCUAUUUAGAAUCAAUUUAGCACCCUUCCACGUGUUGAGUGGCUGUGGUGAGUGAUGAUUGCAGGAUCAGCCUGCUAGUAAUUAAAUGUUGCUGCCUCUUAGCUUGAAAAUGAAACAUCUCUAUGGAAUGUAAGUGUUUCUUGCUUUAUUUAGGUUGGGCAUGUCUAAAUAGCAUGGGUAGGUUUACCAAGUCAGUGCAGGCACAGUGCAAUCGUAAAAUAAUAAACUAAAAAAGCAAAAUGAAGAAGGGGGAAGAAGAGAGAGAGAGAGAGGAAGAAGAGAAGAAGAAAUUGAGAGAAGGGAAACAAAUUCAACCAAUCAUUAAAACUUUGAAUUUCAUGGGAAAUGUUCUACACUUUGCUGAAUCUUGGGUGUAAUUUCCUAAUUUUGGCAUUGUGCUGUCCAGAUAAAAGCUUCCUGUCUGGACUCAUUUUUACUCACAGAUGGGUCUUCAAAAUUGGUAUGAAAUACAGCAAACUGAAAAGAAAGUGUGGACAAGAAAAACACAGUUGUAAGAAAGAAUGUUGAGAGUUUUCAGAAACACUUCUUUGCUUGCAAGGCUGUGGAGGGCCAAGCCCUGAAUGGACUCCAGACUAACCCUGUGGGGAGAGGAAAGUGCCUGUGGAGCUUGGCAAAAGUUGCUUGUCCUUUCCUCCUGAUGAUACGCAUUUGUUCCUGGGUAGUGUGGGAGGUGGCUCCUCCUUCCUGCAUUUGUAGCCACCAUGGAAACAGAUAAUUCCAAAAGACAGUCUAAUAAUGCUGUUGCAGACCCAAAUGUCCUUACAGCGGUCUGAGACUCUCUCCUGACACUAAAUUGUACAUGCAUGUGCAACCAGUGUCACAAGCCUAAUCAUAAAUGCCCCAAACCAAGUGAGACAGAGACUCCAAGGGGUGAACAGCAUGAGAACGACAUGCCAAGGGCCAAGAGAGACAAAAAAAACCACAAAGAGAUUCAAAGUUUACUUCAUGGAAAGUGUGAAAUGAUAUUGUCAAUGUCAGGCCAUGAGACAAGGGAGGCAAUACAGAAAGUAUUGAAGAUGCUGUGCAAGGCAAGUGUGUAAAAAGGAUGAACAAACAGAGGAGGAUCGUGAGCAAAGAAAAAUUGAGAAGAAAGGUUUUGAAAGAAGUGGUCAGAAGAGAAGCCUGGUGGCACAAAAGCUGAUAGAGAAGACAAGGGGCAUGGCAGCAGAAUGAAGGCUGAAAGCACAGCCAUUGAUUUAAUUUGCUGCUUUUCUUUGGAAAUGUAUCCUUUUGCCAGUUCUGGGUGCCAUGCACAUGUGUAAGAACAUACAAGCUUUUCAGCUUGCCAGGGUGAAACUGCCUUCCAGAACUGAGACCCAAUGAAACAACCUUCAGUAUUAAAUCAAUGUCAGUGCUCAAUAACAUCCGGUGCCAGGCAGGGAGAUGCCAGCCCCGCUGGGUGAGUACUGCCAGAGCAUUUGGAUGCUAAUUGGCUGAUUAAUCGAGCUCUUAAGCAAGCAGAUACCUAAGCAAAGAGCAGAGCAGCCAAAUUCCAGGGAGCACUGCCCUGCUAUCUCCCUGUGUUGCAAAAUCCGUGAGUCAGAGGGAGAUGACAGCCCUGGGCAGUACCUGCAGGGAGUACUCUGACCCCCACCUCAGCAAACCUUGUGUUUCUGGGCCCUUUUCAAGUGUGCUUCCAGGCAGGACUCUGCCCUGAUGUCUCGAGGAGGUGAACCAAGAUCUGCAGCAGGAAUGAAGGGUUCAUUUGCUGGAAGGAGAUGAGUGCUGCCAGCGGGACAUCAGGAGACAGCACCCUCAAAGCCCAAGCUCCUGUUGUAGAGUCUGAUCUGCCAUUAUAAAAACAAACAGGCCAGAUCCUCAGCUGGCACAGAGCCACAGAAACUCAGCACAGUAGCUCGAGCUGCAUCUUCUUUAUUGCUUGGGGCAUUGAAGAUUAUGAUUGAAAUGAUGCCCAGGAUGUAACAGAUGAAGUAAAGUGUCCUGAAUUUACCAGCAUCUUAAGUAAAAGCCUAAGUUGCUUAAUUUAUCCUUGGAAUCAUUUUAGCAGUGAGCUUUUUUUACCUUUCUUGUGGGUGCUGUCAUAAAUGGCCUGUGGGAACAGUGGAAUUGUCAUAUCUGGACAUUUUCAAGAAUAUCACUAUUGAGAUUCAAAUAGAUGCAGCUGAAGCAGAGGAACUUGAGUCGAUCAUCUCCUGGAGUCUCUUCCAACCUUCUUUUUUGCAUGAUUUUAGUAAAUCUGUUCAGUUGCUGUCCUAAGCUGGCAAUAUUACUCUGCUUCCAGAGGCUUGUGUCCCAGAAACUCCAGCUCCCAAACCUCUCUACUUCCUUCCUAGCUACUCAUACAAUACAAAAUGUGGUUUUGUCAGUUUUGCAAAUUAUUGUGAAAUCAAGAUCUGAACUGUGGCAACAGUGUGAAGUAAAACACAAAGAUAUCAAAGUUAA